AGAGUUUGAUCCUGGCUCAGAACGAACGCUGGCGGCGUGGAUAAGACAUGCAAGUCGAACGAGAGAAUUGCUAGCUUGCUAAUAAUUCUCUAGUGGCGCACGGGUGAGUAACACGUGAGUAACCUGCCCCCGAGAGCGGGAUAGCCCUGGGAAACUGGGAUUAAUACCGCAUAGUAUCGAAAGAUUAAAGCAGCAAUGCGCUUGGGGAUGGGCUCGCGGCCUAUUAGUUAGUUGGUGAGGUAACGGCUCACCAAGGCGAUGACGGGUAGCCGGUCUGAGAGGAUGUCCGGCCACACUGGAACUGAGACACGGUCCAGACACCUACGGGUGGCAGCAGUCGAGAAUCAUUCACAAUGGGGGAAACCCUGAUGGUGCGACGCCGCGUGGGGGAAUGAAGGUCUUCGGAUUGUAAACCCCUGUCAUGUGGGAGCAAAUUAAAAAGAUAGUACCACAAGAGGAAGAGACGGCUAACUCUGUGCCAGCAGCCGCGGUAAUACAGAGGUCUCAAGCGUUGUUCGGAAUCACUGGGCGUAAAGCGUGCGUAGGCUGUUUCGUAAGUCGUGUGUGAAAGGCGCGGGCUCAACCCGCGGACGGCACAUGAUACUGCGAGACUAGAGUAAUGGAGGGGGAACCGGAAUUCUCGGUGUAGCAGUGAAAUGCGUAGAUAUCGAGAGGAACACUCGUGGCGAAGGCGGGUUCCUGGACAUUAACUGACGCUGAGGCACGAAGGCCAGGGGAGCGAAAGGGAUUAGAUACCCCUGUAGUCCUGGCAGUAAACGGUGCACGCUUGGUGUGCGGGGAAUCGACCCCCUGCGUGCCGGAGCUAACGCGUUAAGCGUGCCGCCUGGGGAGUACGGUCGCAAGAUUAAAACUCAAAGAAAUUGACGGGGACCCGCACAAGCGAUGGAGUAUGUGGCUUAAUUCGAUGCAACGCGAAGAACCUUACCUGGGCUUGACAUGUAAUGAACAACAUGUGAAAGCAUGCGACUCUUCGGAGGCGUUACACAGGUGCUGCAUGGCCGUCGUCAGCUCGUGUCGUGAGAUGUUUGGUUAAGUCCAGCAACGAGCGCAACCCCUGUUGCCAGUUACCAGCACGUGAAGGUGGGGACUCUGGCGAGACUGCCCAGAUCAACUGGGAGGAAGGUGGGGACGACGUCAGGUCAGUAUGGCCCUUAUGCCCAGGGCUGCACACGUACUACAAUGCCCAGUACAGAGGGGGCCGAAGCCGCGAGGCGGAGGAAAUCCUAAAAACUGGGCCCAGUUCGGACUGUAGGCUGCAACCCGCCUACACGAAGCCGGAAUCGCUAGUAAUGGCGCAUCAGCUACGGCGCCGUGAAUACGUUCCCGGGUCUUGUACACACCGCCCGUCACAUCAUGGAAGCCGGUCGCACCCGAAGUAUCUGAAGCCAACCGCAAGGAGGCAGGGUCCUAAGGUGAGACUGGUAACUGGGAUGAAGUCGUAACAAGGUAGCCG
rnacentral:rRNA from 1 species